rnacentral:rRNA from 1 species
UACGAAGGGGGCUAGCGUUGUUCGGAAUUACUGGGCGUAAAGCGUGCGCAGGCGGCUUCUCAAGUCAGGGGUGAAAGCCCAGAGCUCAACUCUGGAAUUGCCUUUGAGACUGAGUGGCUUGAGUACGAGAGAGGUGAGUGGAAUUCCCAGUGUAGAGGUGAAAUUCGUAGAUAUUGGGAAGAACACCGGUGGCGAAGGCGGCCAUCUGGACCGCAACUGACGCUGAGGCGCGAAAGCGUGGGGAGCAAACAGG